rnacentral:rRNA from 1 species
GGUGAACGCUGGCGGCGUGCUUAACACAUGCCAGUCGAACGGUGAAGGCGGAGCUUGCUCUGCUGGAUCAGUGGCGAACGGGUGAGUAACACGUGAGCAAUCUGCCCCUGACUCUGGGAUAAGCGCUGGAAACGGCGUCUAAUACUGGAUACGAGCUGCGAAGGCAUCUUCAGCAGCUGGAAAGAAUUUCGGUCAGGGAUGAGCUCGCGGCCUAUCAGCUUGUUGGUGAGGUAAUGGCUCACCAAGGCGUCGACGGGUAGCCGGCCUGAGAGGGUGACCGGCCACACUGGGACUGAGACACGGCCCAGACUCCUACGGGAGGCAGCAGGGGGGAAUAUUGCACAAUGGGCGAAAGCCUGAUGCAGCAACGCCGCGUGAGGGACGACGGCCUUCGGGUUGUAAACCUCUUUUAGCAGGGAAGAAGCGAAAGUGACGGUACCUGCAGAAAAAGCGCCGGCUAACUACGUG